ACCCGGACUGGCGGCUUCGCUGGCGCAAGGUCGGUCCGGCGGCCAGGGACCUGGAAGGCUGCGAGGCCCUGCGAAGUCGAGGUUCGGAGUUUGCUGGUCCCAGGCCCGGCCCGAGGUUACCUGGGCUUGUAUGUGUUCUAUGUGGUCACUGUGAUUCUCUGCACCUGGAUCUACCGACGGCAACGGAGAGGAUCUCUGUUCUGCCCCAUGCCAGUUACUCCAGAGAUCCUCUCAGACUCCGAGGAGGACCGGGUAUCUUCUAAUACCAACAGCUAUGACUACGGUGACGAGUACCGGCCGCUGUUCUUCUACCAGGAGACCACGGCUCAGAUCCUGGUCCGGGCCCUCAAUCCCCUGGAUUACAUGAAGUGGAGAAGGAAAUCAGCAUACUGGAAAGCCCUCAAGGUGUUCAAGCUGCCUGUGGAGUUCCUGCUGCUCCUCACAGUCCCUGUCGUGGACCCGGACAAGGAUGACCGGAACUGGAAACGGCCCCUCAACUGUCUGCAUCUGGUUAUCAGCCCCCUGGUUGUGGUCCUGACCCUGCAGUCG
rnacentral:sRNA from 1 species